rnacentral:pre_miRNA from 1 species
AGUGGGAUAACUGGAUCAAAGGGUGGUUGCAUUCCAGUUUUUCUGAGGAAUCUCCAUACUCCUUUCCAGAGUGGUUGCACCAAUUUGCAGUCCCACCAGCAGU